rnacentral:misc_RNA from 1 species
GUACCUUCAAGCUAUGCUUGGUGUUGGGUGUUUGUCCUCUCUCUGCGUUUGGACUCGCCUUAAAGCGAUUGGCAGCCUAUAUUUGGUUUUGAGCGCAGCACAUUUUGCGUCUUACUACUUAUUCUAUAGGCACCCAUUAAGCCUUUUAUCAC